rnacentral:rRNA from 1 species
CAGCACCUCAAGUGGUCAGGAGGAUUAUUGGGCCUAAAGCAUCCGUAGCCUGUUCUAUAAGUUUCCGGGUUAAAUCCAUUGGGCUCAACUAAUGGGCUGCCGAAAAUACUGUGGAACUAGGGAGUGGGAGAGGUAGACGGUACUCGGUAGGAAGGGGUAAAAUCCUUUGAUCUAUUGAUGACCACCUGUGGCGAAGGCGGUCUACCAGAACACGUUCGACGGUGAGGGAUGAAAGCUGGGGGAGCAAACCGGAUUAGAUACCCGGGUAGUCCCAGCUGUAAACGAUGCAGACUCGGUGAUGCCCUGGCUUGUGGCCAGCGCAGUGCCGCAGGGAAGCCGUUAAGUUUGCCGCCUGGGAAGUACGUACGCAAAGUAUG